rnacentral:rRNA from 1 species
GAUGAACGCUGGCGGCGUGCUUAACACAUGCAAGUCGAACGGUGAAAGCGGAGCUUGCUCUGCUGGAUCAGUGGCGAACGGGUGAGUAACACGUGAGCAAUCUGCCCCUGACUCUGGGAUAAGCGCUGGAAACGGCGUCUAAUACCGGAUACGAGCUGCGAAGGCAUCUUCAGCAGCUGGAAAGAACUUCGGUCAGGGAUGAGCUCGCGGCCUAUCAGCUAGUUGGUGAGGUAACGGCUCACCAAGGCGUCGACGGGUAGCCGGCCUGAGAGGGUGACCGGCCACACCGGGACUGAGACACGGCCCAGACUCCUACGGGAGGCAGCAGUGGGGAAUGUUGCACAAUGGGCGAAAGCCUGAUGCAGCAACGCCGCGUGAGGGACGACGGCCUUCGGGUUGUAAACCUCUUUUAGCAGGGAAGAAGCGAAAGUGACGGUACCUGCAGAAAAAGCGCCGGCUAACUACGUGCCAGCAGCCGCAGUAA